UAUGUGUAUUGUAGCAAUGUCUCCAAAGAAAAAUCUCAUAUCUCAGUUGCAUACCAAAAAAGGAACAUGGAAAAUAGUUGUCCGUGUCACUGAUCUUUGGGAAGUUAGGAAGCAAAAUAGUAAACAAGCAAUUGACAUGGUGUUGAUGGACCAAAUGGUUAUUGUUGUGUUCUUUCUGUUUGUUGUUAUUAGUCAUUUCUAUUGUAUGUGACUUCAUUUUGUCAUCUAAGUGUUUUAGGGUACAAAGAUUGGUGCUACUCUCUAGCAAGAAUUGUUCCCUGAGUUUCAGUACAAGUUACGUUGUGGUUCUUUGUAUUUGAUUUAGAAUCUGAAGAUUGUUGAUAACCAGUCUGAAUACAAAGUGAGCCCAAUUGCACUUUUGGUUUAUUUCGUCAAAACUACGUCUGUGAAGGAGAUCAACCAUCCAGAAAUCCCUCCUAAUGUCUACAUGACUACUCCAUUUUGCUGAUAUAAUUUCUGGGGUGGCACCACGUCAUACUUUAGUCGGUCAGUUUAUUGAGUUUUUUGUGUAAACAAUGUGCUAUAUAUUUUUCUACGGGACUAACAUUUCUGUUGAGUGGCCAUUUUCGACAAUACAUUGUUGGGGUGGUCGUUGAUGUCAUUGAUGUUAAAACAGUUAAUCCCUCUCACAGGAUGACAAUCAGACUCAGAGAUAACAGUAACUCGGACAUCAUAAUGACUGUUUGGAAGGACUAUGCUAUUCAGCUUCAUGAUGCUAUCAACAAAAACCACAUGCUUAAGGAACCAUUGAUUGUUAUGCUAAGCCUCGGUAAAAUCAAAGAUGUUACAGACAAGUAUCCUCUCAGUGUCCAAAACAUCAAGUAUGGGUCGAGAUUGUAUGUCAACACCGACAUUACAGAGAUACAAGAAUUUUGUGAUAGUCCAUUCAGUUUGUGUGUCCCAUUUUACUCUGGUAGAGUAACCGAUGAUAAAGGUGUUUCUCAGUGGUCAGUAUAGGAUUGUUACUGUUUGACUGUUGGGACGGUCGACGAAGUAUUUAUUGACGCUCCAUGGAGUUAUGACAGUUGUCCGUACUGUACCACAACAUUGGAUCCAUCCAAAAUAGGUUCAAGUUGUUGUUCUUGCCAAAACCAAGUGAACCACACAGUUCCAAGGUAUAAGUUAAAUGUUAGGAUGUAGCACAAUGGAGACAAGGAAAACUUCCUUUUCUAGGAUGCAACAUGUAUCAAGAUGUUUGGUAAGACUGCUGCAGAAUGUCGAGAAGAGUUGAUUGUGGCUGGCGACGAGAUCAAGGUAUUUCCACCCUGUGUUGAUGAAAUACAAAACUUGGGCUGUCAGAUUUAAGUACCGUUCACAAUUGCGCCAAUCAUAUGUGUUAGAUGUCAGUGAAGAACCCCAUCAUAUUCAAACAUUGACAACCACAUUUGGUUUGAAGGGAGAAGCAAGUAUAGGAAAGGAAGGAGUUGUUGAGCCUGAAAGUUCUCCAUCAAGUUACCAUCCUACGGUGGGUAUUUUGUUCUGAUAUUUUUCUAGGUGUAGGAUUGACGAAUGUUUAAAACUAUUAUUAUGUGACAAAUCUUUGUUUAUUAAAUUGUUAAUAUAUUGCUAAAUGGGUACACAACCAUCAUUGUCACAAUCCGCUAAUUACGAUCCAAGAAAGACAGCCUGUGUAACUCCAACCAAAAGGAUUAGUAGUCAGCAAACCAAUUCUGAAUUUGAUUUUGAUGAGUAUACACAAUAUCAACUAUCAACUAACAAACAUAUCAAAGCCGAGUAAUUAGUGGUUAAAAAAUCGAGUGGUAUCAGCAUGUAUGUUUUGUUUUACAUCAACUUUAUCAUUUUGAAUGUAU